rnacentral:rRNA from 1 species
AUGUACAUUCUUACAGCAUAGUGUUAAUGCAUCGGAUCCCAUUAGAACUCCGUAGUUAAGCAUGCUCGGGCUAGAGUAGUAUUGGGAUGGGUGACCUCCUGGGAAGUCCUAGUAUUUUAAAUU